rnacentral:rRNA from 1 species
AUUGAACGCUGGCGGCAUGCCUUACACAUGCAAGUCGAACGGUAACAGGUCUUCGGAUGCUGACGAGUGGCGAACGGGUGAGUAAUACAUCGGAACGUGCCCGAUCGUGGGGGAUAACGGAGCGAAAGCUUUGCUAAUACCGCAUACGAUCUACGGAUGAAAGCAGGGGACCGCAAGGCCUUGCGCGGACGGAGCGGCCGAUGGCAGAUUAGGUAGUUGGUGGGAUAAAAGCUUACCAAGCCGACGAUCUGUAGCUGGUCUGAGAGGACGACCAGCCACACUGGGACUGAGACACGGCCCAGACUCCUACGGGAGGAAGCAGUGGGGAAUUUUGGACAAUGGGCGAAAGCCUGAUCCAGCCAUGCCGCGUGCAGGAUGAAGGCCUUCGGGUUGUAAACUGCUUUUGUACGGAACGAAAAGCCUCUUUCUAAUAAAGAGAGGUCAUGACGGUACCGUAAGAAUAAGCACCGGCUAACUACGUGCCAGCCGCCGCCGUAAUAC